rnacentral:rRNA from 1 species
AGCGAGUAAGGGAAUCUUCCACAAUGGGCGAAAGCCUGAUGGAGCAACGCCGCGUGUGUGAUGAAGGGUUUCGGCUCGUAAAACACUGUUGUAAGAGAAGAAUGACAUUGAGAGUAACUGUUCAAUGUGUGACGGUAUCUUACCAGAAAGGACGGCUAAAUACGUGCCUG